GAGCGCCGGGCGGCGGAGGGCCCCGGCGGGCAGCGGGGGCGGGGCCGGGCCCCACGCGGCGCCACCGCCUCCCUCUCGCCCUCCUCGCCAACAUGGCCGCGGCCGUGAAGAUUGGUAUUAUUGGUGGAACUGGCCUGGAUGAUCCAGAUAUCUUGGAAGGAAGAACAGAAAAAUAUGUUGAUACUCCUUAUGGCAAGCCAUCAGAUGCUUUGAUAUUGGGAAAGAUAAAAAAUGUGGAUUGUGUGCUGUUGGCAAGACAUGGAAGACAUCAUACAAUUAUGCCAUCGAACGUCAAUUACCGUGCCAAUAUCUGGGCAUUAAAAGAAGAAAAUUGUUCACAUGUAUUAGUGACUACAGCCUGUGGUUCAUUACGAGAAGAAAUACAACCUGGUGAUCUUGUCAUAAUUGACCAGUUCAUUGACAGGACAACUAAAAGACACUGUACUUUAUACGAAGGACUACACUCCGCUGUUGCAGGAGUAUGUCAUAUUCCAAUGGCAGAGCCAUUCUGCACCAAAACCAGAGAGGUUCUUAUUGAGACUGCCAAGAAGCUUGGGCUGCAGUGUCAUUCCAAGGGGACAAUGAUCACAAUUGAAGGCCCACGUUUCAGUUCUCGAGCAGAAAGCUUGAUGUUUCGCAGCUGGGGAGCUGAUGUUAUCAACAUGACCACAGUGCCUGAAGUGGUUCUGGCAAAAGAAGCUGGAAUGAGUUAUGCUAGUAUUGCUAUGGCAACAGAUUAUGACUGCUGGAAGGAACAUGAAGAAGCAGUUUCAGUGGAUCAAGUUUUAAGGACGCUGAAAAUGAAUGCAGAUAAGGCUACUAGCUUACUCCUUACUGCUAUACCUCAGAUAGGUUCCAUGGAAUGGACCGACACCCUGCACACCUUGAGAGUAUGCUUGAUUCAUUUCUGGCUGGAGCGCAGAGGGAAAGAACAAAUAUAGUUUGAAUGUCUAUCCAACUUCUCAACAAGUUUUUUAUGACAAAUAGGCAUUUCCAAGAGUACAGGAGCAUGAAGUGCGAGAGGUGGGGAUCACAUUAAGAUAGUGUGGGAGACAGGAAAAGAGAAUUGGAGUGUGAAAAACAAAAAGCAAACAGAAACAAGGAUUUCUGUUCGUGGAAGCAGCAGCAGUCUGAAAAGGAGGAAGCCUAUUGAGGAAACUUUUGAGAGUCCAGUCUCUGAUACCUCUCUUCAGUUCUUUCUUUAUUUUUUCUGAAAAUCACUGUGUUGACUAAAAUUUGAAUGUGUAAGAAAAAUGAACACAGACUUAAGUCAUGUCUUCAUGUACCUGAAGUUGUGUCCCUGAAAUUGAACUACCAACAGAACUGUAUAUACUUUAAAAAUCUUUUAUGUCUUCUGAUUUGGAUCAAAUUUUCAGUUUUGUUUACAAUAUGUUGUCUUGUCAGUGACUCUUAACUCUCAUUUAGUCAGUAUCCUGAAGGAAAGCAAAAUUCACCCAGACACUCCUAAGCAUACUUGACCAGGUCAGGUUUUGGAGGUCCAACCCAAAUAUUUGAAGUGAGUCUUCUGCUGAUUCUUCUCUAGAAAACCUACCUUUUAUUAGGGGGUCUUGGAUUCCUCAGUCAGUUCUCUGAAACAGUUAUUUUAAUGUCCCCUUUAUAAAUUUUUGAGAGGUAACUGACUUGUCCCUUUCCCCUUAGCAGUCUUUAGGAAGUUGUGUCAUGGAUGGGUAAGGGAGACGACAGAAUCAGUAUUUCUUUUCCCCUCUAAUACACCAAAAACAUUUUCAGAGGACUGGGCCACACUUUUCAUUUCACAGAAUCAUGGAAUAGUCAGAGUUGGAAGGGACCUCUAGAGAUCAUCUGGUCCAACUCCCCUGCUAAAGCAGGAUUGCCCAGAGCACAUCACUCAGGACUGCAUCCAGGCGGAUCUUGAGAAUCUCCAGAGAAGGGGACUCCACAGCCUCCCUGAGCACCCUGUUCCAGGGCCCUGGCACCCUCAACAUACAGAAGUUUUUUCAUUUGAUACAGGUGCCUGGCUAUACCAAAAAAAAAAAAACAAAAACCCACCCAAAACCCAGAGUUUGAACAAAUAAUCCAAAAAAAAAAAAAAAAAAAGGGCUAGGUAUUCCCAAGUAUGUAACGCUCUUUAGGUACUGAGGAGUCUACCACCAGUUCUGGCAGGUGUCCUUCAGUAAGCAGUGUCCUGCUGCUUUCCCUGGCAUGAUUGUCUUGAUUCUCCAUCAGGAGUGAAAAAGCAGGUGACUGGAAAGAGCUGACACAAAGUUUGCAGGGUUCCUCUUUAAUGAACACUAACCCUUCUUUCCCUUAAGCAUCUGCUACUGCCUGGUAUCAGUGAUGAAUAUUGAGAUAGUUUCACUUCAGCUUGGCAAUUCUUAUGUGUUUGUGCUCUUUGCUGAUAGGAGCUGAUUUGAGUGAUAGUAUACUGGGAAAGGGAGUUAAUCUGAAGGCAUUAGAAGAACUGGAAACAGGAACAAGGUAUUGGCAGCGGGACUUGAGAUUUUAUGUCAGGAGAGUAGUAGUCACAAUUGUUUCUGAUUUAACACAACCAAGUACUCACAAUCAAGUGACAGGAAAGUCUGAGGUUUUGGAGGGUUCCUCUGAUUUUACUUCAGAAGGGCAGAAAAGGCUAAAAAUCUUUCUGUUUGAAGCAUUAAAUGGUGGUAAAGUAUAUGAAAGAUUGGUCCUAGGCUUCUGUGUUGGUGAAUAAGGAGAGAGGCAAUUAUGCCAUACAGCAGAGAAAUAAAUAUGUGCUUCUGUACUAGUGUGUGGUUGAACCAUAAAGAUUUCUAAGACUGUUCUCUUUGUACAUGUGAAGUGUUCUUCUGUAUAUUUUAAUCUGGGAAUUUUGAAGGUCAGAUGAUGGGGGUUUUUGAACUGAUCUUUUCUGGAGGCACCUUUUCCCAGAGCUGAAAGGCAGCAGCUCUUGCAUGCCCUGUGGUAAUGUGGUGAGGAACGCAGACGAGAAGGGAGCUGAGCAAGGCUGCAGCUGAAACUCUGCAACCAGGGACGAUGUAAAGCCGUGCCAGCCUGCAUCCAAGCCGCUGCUGGGCAUCGCAAAUGGGCAUUUCCAGUGUCUGGUGUUUGGGGAAGAAUGUGGAACCAUAAAGCUCUACAAGGACACAACUUUUCCUUUCUGAGCUCUGUUAUCUGGCUGCCAUGACUGGAGGAGCUUCACCAGGCAGGAGAAAGUACGCUGCCAGUCUGUUUGCCCAGCUGCAUUUGUCUGUCUCCUCCCAUGGAGGUAUGCAUCCCACCCACACAUACGCGGUAGUGUCAUCUCUGAAUUUCACAGUAGUCUUCAGGAAACCCUGGACUGUUGAAGCAAAAAUGUUGAAGGGCUGGUUUUCUGCUAAAGGAUAGGCUGCCUGCCAUCUCUUCUUUUUCAUGUGUCUUUUCAUCUGAGAUAUGCCAGUGAGUUUAGGUGUAGUUUGAAUGUUACUGGUUUUUAGGCUGGUAUGACCGAGCUCUGUUGCUGUAAAAAGAGGUAAUUCUCCAGGCUCAGGUUACAUGAACUCGAAAAAAAAAAAGUUUGGAGCAAGCUUUUCUGCAUCUUCCUUCUUGUCAUUUUGAGGCGUGGUCGGGGUACAAAGCCUUUACUCUUUCAGAACAGGGUAUAACCACAUUUUAUUUAUGUCAUAGAUCAGAAAACAGAGAUGGUGCUAUUGAUCACAGUGGUCCAAGUGAUUUCUGGCUGGUGUCAGGAAAAUUUCAGGAUAGAAUGAGACAACCAUGGAUGAGGUAGAGCUGGAUCUCCCGUUCACGGACAAGAGUUGUUUAAUGAGGUGAUAAUCACUGUCAGUUGUUGCUGUAAUGCUCAGGAAAUAGCGAUGUUCAGCAUCUUCUGGGGAACAAGGAAGGCAAGUAGCAGAGUACAGAUGCUGGAGUACAGAUGCUGGAGUUCAGGUGAGCAUACUUGGGUUUAACCAGUGAAGUAGUAGGUAUCAUCUCAUGGGAGGCAGAUCUGAAGGGGCAAGGAGCUCCAGAAAGCAGGAGGGACUUUAAGGACAGCAUUCUCCAAGCACAAGUGAUCCACAGAAAAACCAGUCAGGCGUCUCACUUGACUGAACAGGCUCUAGUGCAAAAAUGCAGCAUUCAAGGACUGGAAGCAGGGACAAGCUACAAAUAAGGAAUCCAGAACCAAGAGCAGGCAUGUAGGGAUGGUUUCAAAUUUGGCUAUAAUUGACAGUAGGACGUCACAAGCAACAAGAACUUCAGCCACUGCAUUGGUAUCAAAGGUUGAUCGAGUAAAACAUGGGCUCAUUGCUGAAUGAAGUAAAUGAAUCGGUGACAGCAAUUUCAAAGGGGAACGAAUAUAGUAGGUAUUUUUUUGUCUUUGUUAGGGAAAGUAUUGGCAAGAGAGGAAAAACUGUCUUCUUGAAAAGAAUUUUAACUCAUAACAACUGGGAACUGAGCUCUGUAUCUUUAUUAUGGUAAAGUUUGAUAACAGGAGGAUCAGGAGACAACCUGUACUGGGAUGAUAAAAGGAAUGUCACAUAAGAAUUGAUUUUUCUUAAAGCAUGGGUGUAAGACAGCCUGUGGUAAGGUGUUAGAGCUUCUGUAAAUGCUUCUCAGAUAAACUUCUGGACUCUGUUAUUAACUGCCAAUAAGUCAAAUCCGUGAACGUACUUGCGUGACUAGAGUGAAUUGGCUCAGGUGAGUAAGGUGAAGGGGGAAAAUUCAUCAAGACUUCACAUCGUCUGUAGUGGCAGUGGUCUUCAUAUUGUCCUUGCAGGCUGAGGACCUCUUAAGAAAACUGAGAUUGAAGUGUUUCUCAGGCCCUACUCUUGAAUGUGGUUGAUGUCAAAGUUGCGUGUCCCUCCAUAACAUGAGUAUCAGCCAGUGCACCUUUAGAGAAAGGUUUCUAUCCUUGACAGCGAUUCUUCAGAAUUGAUGAAGAAACAUGUAGAAAUCACUUUUAUUUAAGGAACUUCAUUUUCAGAGCGUUAUGAUUAUAUUUGUGAAAACCUUGCUAUCAAUGUGGUGCAUGUAAACCAGUGUGCUAGCCUUAAAAAUAAAAAGCAAGCUGCACAAUUUUUCAUUUGUAAGUUGUAAGCCUAAAAGUCUGUAAUUUAGUGUUUCUGCAGUAUGAUUGUGUGGUGGGUUGACCUUGGCUAGAUGCCAGGUGCCCGCCAAAGCCACUGUAUCGCUGCCUCUCCUCAGCUGGACAGGGGGAGAAAAAUUAAGACAAAAGGCUUGUGGGUGAAGAUAAGGACAGGGAGAUCCUCAGCAAUUACUGUCAUGGGAAAACUAAUUUGGCUCAGGGAAAUUAAUUCAAUUUAUUGCAAAGCAAGUCAGAGUAAGAUAAUGAGGAAACCAAAUCUUUAAAACCGCUUUCCCCCACCCCUCCCUUUUUCUGUGGCUCAGCUUCACUCCUUAGUUCUCUGCUUCCUCCCCCCAAGUGGCACAGGGGGCUGGGAGUUGGGGUUGCAGUCAGUUAAUCACAUAUUGUCUCUGCCACUCCUUCCUCCUUAUUGUCUUUCCCUGCUCCAGUGUGGGCUUCCUCUCAUGGGAGGCAGAGUCCUCCGUGAACUUCUCAAAAGUGAGUUCUUUCCACGGGCUACAGUUCUUCAUUAACUGCUCCAACAUGGGUCCUUCCACAGGGCCACAGCUUCUGCCAGGAGCCUGCUCCAGCACAGGCUUUCCACGGGAUCACAACCUUCUUCAGAGCAUCCACCUGCUCCAGCAUGGAGGCCUCCACAGGUUGCAGGUGGACAUCUGCUCCACCAUGGACCUCCAGGGGCUGCAGGGGGACAGCCUGACUCACCAUAAUCUUCACCACAGGCUGCAGGGGAAUCUCUGCUCCAGCACCUGGAGCACCUUCUCCCCCUCCUUCAUUGACCUUGGUGUCUGCAGAGUUGUUACUCUCACAUAGUCUCACUCCUCUCUCCGGCUGCAGUUGCUGUUGCAUAGAUUUUUUUUUCCACCUUCUUAAAUAUGUUCUCACAGAGACACUACCACCGUCACUGAUGGGCUUGGCCUUUGCCAGCAGUGGGUCUGUCUUGGAGCUGGCUGGCGACAGCUCUACCAGACAUUGGGGAAGCUCCUAGAAGCUUCUCACAGAGGCCACCCCUGUAGGCCCCCCGCUACCAAAACCUUGCUACACAAACCCAAUACAGACCGUUGUUUUCAAUACCAGCAAGUCUGUUACAUAGUUUUAAAAAGUUGUAAUGAGAAGUUUUUGAACUGUUGAAGGGUAUGCCCUCCCAGUAAUUCUUCGAACACUUGUGGUGUUGGACAAAGUUGGAUAGUGUGCACAUGGAAAGAGUUACACCUGUUUGUAAUCCAAAUAGAAGCUGUGUCAUCUGCCUUUACGUUGAAAAGUAAUUCUGCUCUGCAUUGGCAGAGGAAGCAUUCAUCUACUUUGGCUUUUUA